rnacentral:lncRNA from 1 species
AGUGGGGGUGACACAGCUUCUCUGGGAACCCGGUGGGGCGCCUCAAUUGAUAGCUGAGCCUUGGGCCUCUCUGGAUGUCUCCUAGUGCCUCGAGUUUCCAACACUACACCACGUUCAGCCCCCACCCUGCGUUCCUUUCCUUGUCCAGACCUUUAAGAGUCCCAGCUUUGCCUCCUGCUUGCUUCUCUGCCUGUCUGCCUCCUGUUUCCUCGCUGUCCUCCUCUUCACUGAGCUCUGCCUUGCCCCCUCCCAGU